rnacentral:rRNA from 1 species
AUUGAACGCUGGCGGCAUGCCUUACACAUGCAAGUCGAACGGCAGCACGGGUGCCUGCACCUGGUGGCGAGUGGCGAACGGGUGAGUAAUACAUCGGAACAUGUCCUGUAGUGGGGGAUAGCCCGGCGAAAGCCGGAUUAAUACCGCAUACGAUCCACGGAUGAAAGCGGGGGACCUUCGGGCCUCGCGCUAUAGGGUUGGCCGAUGGCUGAUUAGCUAGUUGGUGGGGUAAAGGCCUACCAAGGCGACGAUCAGUAGCUGGUCUGAGAGGACGACCAGCCACAGUGGGAGAGAGAAAGGGACCAGAGGACUACGGGAGGCAGAAGUGGGGAAUGUUGGACAAUGGGGGAAAGCAGGAGACAGUGAUGUGGCGUGUGAGAAGACGGCGUCUCGGGUGGAAAGAAGGUAUGCCGGGAGCGAAAUCCAUGACUCUAGUACAGUAGGUGGAUGAAGGUAACGGAAGAAGAAGCACCGGCUAAAUACGUG